rnacentral:rRNA from 1 species
AUGCACUCUGACAGGAAGGAAUGGAACGAGGAGCUAGUUAGACAAAUCUUCUACCCUUUUGAUGCAGAUGAGAUUUGUAAAAUCCGAAUUCCGUCCUUGGACGUGGAAGAUCGGAUUGCCUGGCACUAUGAGAAAAGUGGUGAAUUUUUAGUAAGAAGUGCCUAUAAACUUGCAGCGGCGAGCCUUCCCCAACUAGCUCAAAACCCUUCAAGCUCGUCUUCAGACCCGAAUGAUCGUAGCAUAUGGGAUCUCAUUUGGAAAGCAAAAGUGUCGGGUAAAGUACAUAUAUUCGGGUGGAGGGUGGCUACAAAUACCCUUGCUACUAAGGAAAACAAGUGGAAAAGAACACUUGAACUAGACGCUACCUGCAACAUUUGUGGAAAUGGGACUGAAACUGAACAUCACGCCGUGGUCAUGUGCACAAAAAGCAAACCAUUGAGAGAAGCCAUGAGGAAGGUAUGGAACCUGCCUAAUGAAAACAGAUUUUGGUACACUGGUGAGAAUUGGCUACAAACUGUACUAGAUACAGAAAAUGAGGAAAUGCGCGCCAAAAUCCUGCUGUUAUUGUGGAGGUGCUGGCAUAUGAGAGAAGACUAUAUCCGAAAUAAUGCAGGGAAUCGAUCUAGUAAAUCUUUAGCUUCAAUUCCAUCGCUCCCCUCACUAGUAGAAAACGGGGCUUUGGUACGCCCAGAAAAGAGCAUUAAUCCCGGUUGCAUUACGAACCGGGACUAA